rnacentral:ncRNA from 1 species
ACUCACGCGGGAGGCGAUGACGCGCGGUCCACAUCCCGGCCGCCCGGACCGCGCCGAGCCACUGGCGAGACCGCCCCGCGCCCGA